rnacentral:tRNA from 1 species
GGGAAGUUGGCUCAGUGGUAGAGCGCUUGCCUUGCAUGCCUGAGGCCCUGGGUUCAAUUCCUCAGCACCCCA